rnacentral:rRNA from 1 species
UACGGGGGGGGCAAGCGUUGUUCGGAAUUACUGGGCGUAAAGGGCGCGUAGGCGGUCUGCUAAGUUGGAUGUGAAAACUCUGGGCUUAACCCAGAGCCUGCAUUCAAUACUGACAGGCUAGAGUUCUGGAGGGGAUAGCGGAAUUCCUGGUGUAGCGGUGAAAUGCGUAGAUAUCAGGAGGAACACCGGUGGCGAAGGCGGUUCUCUGGGCAUUACCUGACGCUGAGGAGCGAAAGUGUGGGGAGCGAACAGG